CCGGCACGGGUGAGUAACACGUAUCCAACCUGCCGUCUACUCUUGGACAGCCUUCUGAAGGAAGAUUAAUACAAGAUGGCAUCAUGAGUUCACAUGUCCGCAUGAUUAAAGGUAUUUUCCGGUAGACGAUGGGGAUGCGUUCCAUUAGAUAGUAGGCGGGGUAACGGCCCACCUAGUCUUCGAUGGAUAGGGGUUCUGGGAGGAAGGUCCCCCACAUUGGAACUGAGACACGGUCCAA
rnacentral:rRNA from 1 species